CCUUCCAGAGCGCGUUCUCUCUCUCUCUCUCUCUCUCUCUCUCUCUCUCACCGCCUUCUUUUAUAGGUAUGGUUUCCGUGUCUCCCCCUACGAAACACAGCUGUUCUCUUAUAUCUCAGUUUCUCUCUCAUUCUACAUUCACGAGUUUCACAUCCUCCGUCUGAUUCUAUGAUUUUUCAUCGAUCGAGUCUUCCCCGCCGCCGCCUGCUCGAUCGUACUCUCUCGUAACUACGUUUAUUUCUCCUGUAAUCUGCGCAUUCUGUUCACAGUCGAAUGAUCUCGAUUUCGUUUUAUAUUCGGAAAGUGGAUGAGUUCUCGAGAAAACGAGGGAAAGUAGAUUAGUUUCUGUCCACAGCAUUAUGUAGUUUUGUUACCUUCUUCUUCUUCUUCCACGCCUCCGGUAAUCCGCUAAUUUUGUUCGGCGUUAGAUGAUCUCAAUUUUGUCUUGGUUUCUGUUUGGUUCUCGAGAAAAUUAGGGAAACUAGAUAAGUUUUUGUUCAUAGCAUUUAGUUAUCUUCUUUUCCUUUCUUUCCUCCGGUAAUCUGCUCGUUUUGUUCGGUGUAAAAUGAUCUCGAUGACUCGAUUUCGUUUUCUGUUCGUCGCUGUUUGGUUCUCGAGAAAAUUAGGGAAAGUAGAAGAGUUUUCGUUCACAGCUUUUCGCUAUCUUCUUUUUCUCUAGCUCCUCCAUCCAAUAUCAUCUCGAUACUCAUACUAUACCUGACAUUUUUGCUUGCGGUUUAAAUCAACGUUGAACUUGUUCGGAUCUGUACCUCUCUCUCUCCCUCUCUCUCUCUCUCUCUCUCUCUCUCUCUCUCUAUCCAUUUUGGUCUUUUAUUUUUUGAAAAUUGGUAGAUCAAUCAUCAUUCAUCAACGGUAAGGGAAACUGGAUGUUUUUGAACGGAGAGUAAUCUCAAUUUUCGAAGCCUGGAGGUAGUACAAUGAUUCCAUCACGAGAUAGCGGAAUGGUCAAAAUCUAGACACGAGCACAUGCACUAGCAGCGCAGGUGAACAACAUGUUGGUGGUAGGGCCUGUCGAAGAUCCGGCAGUAGAGGAAGGGAAACUCGAUGUUGAUGAGAUGCGGAUGUGUUCUCGACUUCUCGAUCUCAGUGUUGUAACGAGAGGGAUGUAUAUUUUUGGGAAGAAUGAUGUAGCUUGCUGCGUGCUUCGGAUCAAUCUGUGCCUUGAUAUCCAACCAUGAAGAUUUCUCCUGGUGAGGAGGGCCAAGACGUGAAGUAAACGACAAAACGAGGUUGCUAAGUUGUCCGAAGAGUUGUCCAACAUUGGUGAACCUGGUUCUUAUGGUUGUGAUGCCUCUGCUUCUGUUAUCUUUUGCACAGCAGAACAUGAGAUGAGGAAGUCAAAGUAUACCAGAAAAGAUGAAGUCCAUGCAAAAUAAUAAGAUUUUGUAGUUGUUGCCUCAGCAUUGCUGCCUCCCUUUGCCAAAACUAUCAUCAAGAAUACAAAGAAGAUGUAGAAUUUCUCAAGCUACAACUCUGGCUACUAGCAAGUUUUGGACUUGGGAAGUUCAAUAAGAAGAUCUAUUUCCAUGCUACAAAAAUGAGAAGUGAGGAUUAUGAGGUAUAGGGGAUUUCGCCAACCAAAAAAUUUGCAACAUGUUGCAAGGCACUGCUCCCAAGAGUUCAUUCUGAAGCCAAUAAUUCCUUCCCUUCGAUAUGUGAUAAUCAGUGGAUAAUAGCAGCAGCAUCUCACCUUCAGCUUUUGGAAUCUUCGAGAAUAGGCUUCAAUCCAUUUGUAUUUGAUCUCCUUUAUGCUUUUUCUGUUUUGUUAGCUUUAGCUUCUUGUUAGCUUGCUUUGGCUUUGGUCUGUAAUUUCUAUGUUCUGUUUGAACUCUGUUAUACUCCAUAUAGAAGUUCUCUCUUUUAUCCAAGAAGAGACACUUCAACAUCACGACGAUAUGCUGAUUCAUAGGAAAACUAUCGGUGACUUUCA